AAAGAAAAAAAAAAAAAAAAAAGACAAAUCUAAGCUUAAUAGACAUUUUAGCUCUAAUAAACCAACUUUUUGUGUACAAUUAAAAUGAUUUUUUUUACAGGAGAAUGACAGAUUUUAAAUGAUAUUCAUAAGAAUAACUGAAUAGGAGACAAAAUUGAAAAAUAAAAAACUUGAAACCUCUGCAAGAAUUUAAGAAACUCGUAAAUCCUGCAACUCACGGUCACAAAGAUGACUAAAAAUGAAAAUACCUCUGCACUUUUAAGCCACUAAUCUAUACUGUUUACCCCUACCUACACAGUUUGAUUUAAGAGCUUUCCAUCCACAAACUGAAACAACCAAAAGUUAGGACAGUAACUAUCUAUUGUGUGGAUGUGAGUUGGUGUCCAGGUUGCAUUAAUAAAUCACACAUACACUUUCGGUUGGGACAAUAAAAGAUAUCUUUUUCCUUAUCGUUGAUUAUAUGCAAUUUUCCAAACAAAAAAUUGUAUGAUCAAAUCCAAAUUUGUGCUCGUGCUCGUCUCCAUCAAAACAUACUUAAGCUCAGUAAAGUCUAUGUGGCCCAACUACAGAAAAAUUAAAUUUGUAUUUUUAUGCAAUCCUAAAUAUAAACAUAUUUAAAUUAAAUAUAAUAAUAUACAACUAGUUAUUUUGUAAUCAUUAACUUUAAUUUAGUGAUAUUGAAAUUAUCUUAAAAAUUAUGAGGUCUUCAAUUCGAAUCCCAAUUCAAAACCUAUUACACAUGGAUAAUGAGUUGUGCUUUCAAACAACCUUAUGUUCUCAAUGAACCAAGAUACAAGCUAAUUCAAGUUCUUUAAAAAAAAUCAUAGAAAAGGAAUGUUACAUCUAAGGCAUUGUUAGAGACAAUAAUAUAAAAGAAGAUUCUAUUAUACUAUCGACAAUAAUGAAAAAGAAGGCUCUGUUGGGAGAUGUGAUGACUUAUCACUCAAAAAAUACAAAACCAAUUAAUUAAGGCACCAACAGUAGUCUAUUACUUCAAGAGGCAAAACUGAUCCUAUGUAAACUUUAUCAAAGAGGAAUAAAGGCCAUUUA
rnacentral:misc_RNA from 1 species